GAUGAACGCUGGCGGCGUGCUUAACACAUGCAAGUCGAACGAGAAGUGGAGACGGAAACCUUCGGGCGUGAGCCUUUACUUCAAGUGGCGGACGGGUGAGUGACGCGUGGGUAACCUUCCUCAUACAGGGGGGUAACAGUUGGAAACGACUGUUAAUACCGCAUAAUACGACAGCACCGCAUGGUGCGGUGUUAAAAACUCCGGUGGUAUGGGAUGGACCCGCGUUCGAUUAGCCAGUUGGCGGGGUAACGGCGCACGAAAGCGACGAUCGAUAGCCGAUCUGAGAGGAUGACCGGCCACAUUGGGACUGAGACACGGCCCGAACUCCUACGGGAGGCAGGAGUGGGGGAUAUUGCACAAUGGGGGGAGCGCUGAUGCAGCGACGCCGCGUGAGUGAAGCAGUAUGUCGGUAUGUAAAGCUCUAUUAGCAGGGAAGAAAAUGACAUUACCUGAGUAAGAAGCCCCGGCUAACUACGUG
rnacentral:rRNA from 1 species